AUUCCUACGGGAGGCAGCAGUGGGGAAUAUUGCACAAUGGGGGAAACCCUGAUGCAGCCAUGCCGCGUGUGUGAAGAAGGCCUUAGGGUUGUAAAGCACUUUCAAUAGGGAGGAAAAGUUAGUAAUUAAUACUUACUAACCGUGACGUUACCUAUAGAAGAAGCACCGGCUAACUCCGUGCCAGCAGCCGCGGUAAUAAA
rnacentral:rRNA from 1 species